CCAAACACCACCAAAUUGUCUCAAAAACUACCUAAACUUAGUUCUAAGCACAAUCUAUGAAGAUUUAGAGUUGUUAUCUAGCUUACCUUAUUGGAAAACUGUGAGAACUCACCAGAUUUACUUUUUGCACGGUGAAUGUAUUGUGCAACGAGGGAGAAAGAAAAAGUGAGAGUUUCUCGUCAUUAUGGGCUCGUAGAUCUCAUAGAGGAGGAAAUGGUGGUGGUGUGGUGGUCUCCGAAUGGAGAAAGGCCGAUAAGGUGGUCUCGAUAGGUGAUCUCGAUAAGGGUUUGAGGUAUGGGUGAGAGAGAGACAAUGAGAGAGAGUGAGAAGUGUUCUAGAGAGGAAGAGAACACGACAGAGAAGAAGAAGGGCACCUAGAAAUAGGGAGGUGCCAAUUGUCAACCAUGUAGAGGUCUAAAGUAGAGAAAUAUCUCUACUGG
rnacentral:lncRNA from 1 species